rnacentral:rRNA from 1 species
AGAGUUUGAUUCUGACUCAGAACGAACGCUGGCAGCGUGGAUUAGGCAUGCAAGUCGAACGGGAAACCGCGGAAUCAAUCUUCGGAAAGAAUUCGUGGUGGAUAGUGGCGGAAGGGUGAGUAACGCGUGGGCAAUCUGUCCUUAAGUUGGGGAUAACUCCGCGAAAGCGGGGCUAAUACCGAAUGGGGUCCUCCGGCGCAUGUCGGGGUGACUAAAGGUGGGGAUCCUUCGGGACCUGCCGCUUAGGGAGGAGCCCGCGUCCCAUCAGCUUGUUGGUGAGGUAAUGGCUCACCAAGGCAUACGGGUAGCUGGUCUGAGAGGAUGGUCAGCCACACUGGGACUGAGACACUGCCCAGACUCCUACGGGAGGCUGCAGUCGAGGAUCAUUCGCAAUGCGCGAAAGCGUGACGAUGCGACGCUGCGUGGAGGAUGAAGGCCUUCGGGUUGUAAACUCCUGUCAUGAGGGAAAAGACGCCCUAUCUCUAAUAUAGGUGGGGCCCGAUGGUACCUCAAGAGGAAGCCACGGCUAACUCUGUGCCAGCAGCCGCGGUAAUACAGAGGUGGCGAGCGUUGUUCGGAUUUACUGGGCGUAAAGGGUGCGUAGGUGGCUUCGUGUGUCGGAUGUGAAAGCCUACAGCUCAACUGUGGAAUUGCAUUCGAAACUGCGGAGCUAGAGUACAGGAGAGGAGAGCGGAAUUCUUGGUGUAGCGGUGAAAUGCGUUGAUAUCAAGAAGAACACCGGUGGCGAAGGCGGCUCUCUGGAAUGUUACUGACACUGAGGCACGAAAGCUGGGGGAGCAAACAGGAUUAGAUACCCUGGUAGUCCCAGCUGUAAACGGUGUGCACUUGGUGUGGGCGGAAUUGACCCCGCCCGUGCCGGAGCUAACGCGUUAAGUGCACCGCCUGGGGAGUACGGCCGCAAGGCUAAAACUCAAAGAAAUUGACGGGGGCCCGCACAAGCGGAGGAGCAUGUGGCUUAAUUCGAUGCAACGCGAAGAACCUUACCAGGGCUUGACAUGUAGCUGCACGCCCCGUGAAAGCGGGGAAGCCUUCGAGGGUGCUACACAGGUGCUGCAUGGCUGUCGUCAGUUCGUGCCGUGAGGUGUUUGGUUAAGUCCAGCAACGAACGCAACCCCUGUGUUUAGUUGCCACCGCAGGUGAUGAGCCUGCGAGCACUCUAAACAGACUGCCUAUGCAAGUAGGAGGAAGGU